GUGCCUAAUGGAUCUCCUAAAGGGGGUCAAAUAACUAAAAGAAUAGAGAUUCCUAAUGCAAGUAGGACUUAUAUUAAGAAGCUAUUUGACUUUGAAUAUGAUUCAUACCUUUUGCCUAUUUAAAAGAGCUUUUCUAAAGCUCUUUACUUCUAAUUUUGAGUAGCCCACACCUCCUAUAAGACCUCCUCAUGCCCCUUUUCUCUUCUCCCUCUCUUCUCUCUUCUAGCUCCAACGCCCAAGGAGCUUGGGUGUCUUCCACACCCAAAAAGAGUUUGGGCAUCCCCUUUGCUUGUUGAUUUUCAAAUUUUGAUUGCUUCAUAAUCAAGAAAAGAAGAGCAAGAGAAGAAGAGAAGAAAAAGAUCAAGGAUAGGAUCAAAGAGUUGAUCGUGAUCCAGAUUUCAUUCAAAUUCACAGGGUGAUUGUUCUUAGAGAAGAAAGAUCAACAUCAAAGAAGAUUGUUCCAAACUAAUCCUUAGUAGAUACC
rnacentral:lncRNA from 1 species